GCCAUUCGUGUGCUUUACUGGCAAAACGUAAACACGCUGGCUGGCUCACUUGGCUACUUGCUGUUCAUCGCGCCGACAGAACAUUAAAAAAAAGAGAAAAAAAGUGUCGUAUAAAAAAAAAAAAAAAAAAAACGAAGGCAGGCAGGGGGAGAAAAAAACCCGUCUACGCCGUCGUCGCCUCGCCAGGGAGACGAAGCUUCAUGCAGACUUCCGGCCGCUGGGACGACGACGGCGCUUUUCGACAGUCGGUCAAGAAGCGAUAAAUGACUCCGGAGAACGUGCUGCUUAUUGAUGGACGAAACAAAAGGCGACUGGGUGAUGUGGGUCUUGGUGGGCAGCGGUACUCGUCGGGGCAACGACCGAGGGACGUCGUCUUCAUCCAUGAUGAUGACGUCUGCCAUGUUGGGAGAGUCUUCAUUGAGAGACAAAAAAUAUAGAGAGGAAAUGCAACAUAACACAUACAGUUGUCUCACAGAGGUCGAGGUCUAUUCCAGGUUUCUUGCCUCCAUCGACAAGCGCUUACUAAUGUGCAUUUCGUUAUGUUUUCUUACUGUAUCUAUAUAAUGUGAAUUAACGCAAUGUAAAAAAAUAUUUAUCUUAGUGGAUGCGGUGAUCUUUUAUUGUCCUGCUUGUAGUUAACCACUCCAUACUUAUGGAAUGUGGCAUGUAUUCCAGUAAGACGACACUUUCCAUUUUUUACUAAUGACUAUUCUACAAUUUGGAAUGAUGCCAAUAAAGAUUUAGAUUCCAAACUAGCUUCCACAGUCGCCACCAUCUUCAAAAUUGGAUAACGAGUAUAAAUCUUUACUCGCAAGUGGUGCAUCUUUAUUGUAGUUCCGAGCACUAUAAAGCUGUUAAAUCGGAGUGAAAGGACGAACUUUUUUAACGCCACACAACAGGACACACGUCGUGCAAAAUUAUACAUUUUAACACUAUGACCUAAAAUUAGAUAUACAACACUCGUGAUGUAUACCAACCUGUUAGUUAGGCUGAGAUGACGCUCUAGACAGAACAUCGACUCCCACCCGGCAUUGUCCAGUGUACCAAUCCUCGUUAGCUUACGUUAGCAUUAGCACCCUAUUUAGCGCGCGACUUCAGGCUGAGUAAUAAAAUCUGGACAAACUUGCUAGGAUUCUAAAACCUAAUAAUAAUUGGACCUAGGUACAAAAUAAGCACGUCUAAGAGUCCACGAUAUCUGACAGAAUGAUAUAGCGUCGUAUUGUUUGUGUCCAUCAAAACAUUUUAUCAAAAAAUGUAGAAACCAUAGGAAACGUUAUCUACGGGCGGUUGGCACAUUGUGAAAUUGGCUCACUAGCGUCACCAUGUGGUUUGGAGAGCAAUGUGCGUGUAAAUAAACUACAAUGUUUCUUGCUAAAUUGAUUACUUUUUUAAAUUGCCGGAAAAUCUGCGCUAAAAUUGCAAAUAAUCUUCAAUAUCUCAUGAAGCAUUGCCUGAUGUGAACUUGAUACUAAGUAACUUGGUUCGUUUUUGUAGUACAUAAAUAAUAACCUAUAUUAACAUCAACAAACAUAUAAUGGGUCAAAUAAAUAAGCCUGGUAACUACAACACACCUUUAUUCCUUGUUUUAAUAUGGUUGUAAUUUAAAAAGAACACACACACACCGAAACAUUGAUAGUUAUUUUCUGGAGGGAGUUAAAAGAUGAGAAAACAUUGUAUUUACAAAACAAAUCUUGCAGGUUGUUCAAGAUUCAAGAGUUUUUAUUCGCCAUGUUUGAGCGUGCCAAACAAGGAAUUUGACUUCGGUAAAAACACACCCUCUGUUCAACAUUUAGGUGACUAACAACACUCAGGACAUGUGAAUAAUGGCAAAAAAAGGUGUGAAGAGCAGGAUGUUAUUGCACAGUAAUGACUCUGAGACUCUAUGAGUGGUGUGAGUUCAUCAGAGCAACAGCCUGGGAAAGCAAUAAAGAUGCACCACUUGCGAGUAAAGAUUUAUACUCGUUAUUCAAUUUUGAAGAUGGUGGCGAUUGUCACAAUAAAAUUAAUGAGUAACAAGUAAAAAGUCCAAUUUGUUAAAAUGACUUAUUGUAUUUGGAUUCUUCAGUGUAGGGUGACAAGGCGGGUAAGUCUCUUCAAUUCUCUUUCUGCAGCAAGUGAAAAGGUAAGAGUUCAAAUAUUGAUAAAACAUUAAAUUUGAGAAACAAACUUACCUUUUCUGUUUCCACUCCCUCAGCUGGACCUACAGACAAAAAUAAAAGACAUUCACUUUGGCGUAAAUGCUUGCAGUGCAAUAAUCUCUUGCGUAUUCACACUUUACUAUUUACAAAUUGUCUAAAGUGUCCAAAGCAAGUGUGACCCGGCCAUUUCUCUAAAAUAUUUGCAAUUAAACUACUAAUAAAAGCUAUUUGAUUUGAUUGCUAUUUGCAGUUGACUCAAAGGUGCAGUGGCGAAACAUCAACAGCAAUACAUCAGCCGACAAGCACAUUAGCUUCACAAAUGUUGGGUCACCUGAGGGGAGGAAGAGCCAAGAGACGAACUUGAUGAGGCCGUAGAGCACAAGGGCCACGGCCAACAUCACCAUGGAGUCCUCCAUGGAUGGUGUGCUGAAGCCUGAGAGGUCAAAAGUCAUUAGUACUGCGUUUGAAACAGGCUGACAAAUCAGCAUUUAUGUGGUAGGAUAGAAAACAUCCCCUCAGAUUACCGAUGACUCUGAGUGCCACGCUGGCACGACGUGUACCGCCGGGAUGCUUGGCGACGCAGGUGAGCUCCCCUCCGCGGCCCAGCUCCGGAUCAGACGUGUUGAGCUCCAACCGGGUGCCUUGGCUGUAGGUGCCGUCCCAGGCCUGCUUGUGGCCCGUAAGGUGACCGUCUCCCAACGACCUGGUCUUGCCAUCGGGGUCUUUCAAAUCCCAGCUCAGCUCCAGGGAAUGGGGGGUGAAACCUGAGGCCUCACAGUGGACUGUCAAACUCUGGCCCGGAGCGGUGAGGGGCAACGGGGACGGGUGGAUGGAUAGGGAAGGAGGUUCUAGAAGCAAGGCGAAAAUGUUGCAGUCAAAUGUUAAAAUUCUAUUCCAGCUUUGAUUGCAUUUUUCACAACCCACCUGCAACCUCCAGAUGAAUGGUGACCUGCGCGAGAAGAUGUGGCAGGUACACCAUGCAAAUGUACAUUCCGGAGUGGUGCACUUGGGCUUCCUGCAGCACCAGGGAGGCGUUGCCAUUUCGGUGCAGCUCCUCAAAGUCCAUUUUCACGCCUUCCUCUUUGGAGUCAAAUAGCCGGUCCGAUUUUCCAUCAUAGGCCAGAAGCAGUCGUCCGCUGCCGUGGGACUGGUAGCGCCACUCCACGGCAAAGCCCGAUCCAUACAGGGGAGAUGCGGGGUUGGCCCAGAACUGGCAUUGCAGCAGCACCGGCUCACCGAGUCUGGACUGCACCACCGUUGUGGUAGUCACGCUGAGGACCACUAAGGAGCGAAACGGCAAAGAAGGAACAUAGGAACUUCUCAGAGCAAGAAGAGCUACUCAAAUCCACGGUGGUUACCGUCCAGCUCGUUGGUUUCGGUGGGGGCACGCAUGAUGCUGGCCGUGCCGCGUCGUUCGUCCAGGUCCUGAACAGUGGCAGAAAACCAGUCGGCUUGCAGGUAUAUAGGGCUGAGCUCAUCUGAGAGGCUGGAGGCCCACGAGACGGCGGAGUAAUGCGGCUGGAAGCGGCUGAGCUCACAAUGAGGCUUGCGGGUUGAGCUUUUGCGUGAGCGGUGACACAGAGUCGCCUCCGGAUCUGGAGGUCACAAGCGGCGAUUCAUUCAUCCAUUUUUAGGUAUUGACAUGAGGUUAUUUUGUAACCAGGGUAAUAAUUGCACGCCAACAGACCGGCGACAGUGUAGACUCUCAGGAUACUGGGAUCAGUCAAAUCUUCGAGGCUGGCUGUGCGGUGGCCUUUCGUCUUGAUGCGAAGCAGAGACUUCACCUGGCUUGGGGGCGCCGCUAGACCUCCAGCUGGCUUCUCGUUCAUAUACCAGCACUCCAGCCCAGGACAGGAGUGGGUGUGGCAGGCUGCGAGAAGGCCACAAACAGUGCAACACACGGACUCAAUAGACGUCACUGUGUCAUUGAGUAACAUUUAAAAUUUAAUCAAUAGCAAAAAUGAAAUUUACUUUCAAUUUCUUAUAUUUUUCUCAACAGCAAGCUACAGUACUGUUGUUGUAACGCACUUUAGCCACGGGGGGGGCGUUUGCACCAAAUUCCCUGAAAAACUUAAACACAAAUGACCUGCAAAACGUUACAUGCGAGUGUACAAUGUUAUUAAUAAAACCGCAACAUUGUCUUGAGCAUCGUUCGGCACAUUUUUUAAGAUGAAACAUAUUUUAAGCAUUUUAAAUGUAUGUAGAGUUUUGUGUCGGAUACCUUGGAUCAAGCAGCAAAGCAGAAAGACAUUACAAAUGAACCAGAAGUUCGACAUGGUUGUUGCGCUCCUUGCUGCUUCUUCUUGGUCUUCUCUUCGUUUUCUUUUUGUUGUCCUUUCAGAGAAAAGGAGCUGCGCAACCGUAACGUGUCUGCCUUUAUACUUUCGCUUUCACUCUCGCCUGCAAGUACGCAGAAGAAAAGCGACACCUUCCGUUUAAG